AGUGAACGCUGGCGGUAGGCCUAACACAUGCAAGUCGAGCGGCAGCACAGGAGAGCUUGCUCUCUGGGUGGCGAGUGGCGGACGGGUGAGGAAUACAUCGGAAUCUACUUUUUCGUGGGGGAUAACGUAGGGAAACUUACGCUAAUACCGCAUACGACCUACGGGUGAAAGCAGGGGAUCUUCGGACCUUGCGCGAUUGAAUGAGCCGAUGUCGGAUUAGCUAGUUGGCGGGGUAAAGGCCCACCAAGGCGACGAUCCGUAGCUGGUCUGCGAGGAUGAUCAGCCCAACUGAAACUGAGACACGGUCCAGACUCCUACGGGAGGCAGCAGUGGGGAAUAUUGGACAAUGGGCGCAAGCCUGAUCCAGCCAUACCGCGUGGGUGAAGAAGGCCUUCGGGUUGUAAAGCCCUUUUGUUGGGAAAGAAAUCCAGCUGGUUAAUACCCGGUUGGGAUGACGGUACCCAAAGAAUAAGCACCGGCUAACUUCGUGCCAGCCGCCGCGGUAA
rnacentral:rRNA from 1 species